rnacentral:rRNA from 1 species
UACGUAGGUGGCAAGCGUUGUCCGGAAUUAUUGGGCGUAAAGCGCGCGCAGGCGGUCCUUUAAGUCUGAUGUGAAAGCCCACGGCUCAACCGUGGAGGGUCAUUGGAAACUGGGGGACUUGAGUGCAGGAGAGAAGAGUGGAAUUCCACGUGUAGCAGUGAAAUGCGUAGAGAUGCGGAGGAACACCGAUGGCGAAGGCAGCCCCCUGGGUCGACACUGACGCUCAGGCACGAAAGCGUGGGGAGCAAACAGG